UAAUCUUCAAACUGCAAAUCAAUAGUUAAAUUUCAAAAAAUCAAUAUAAUGUAUGAAGGGUAGUCAUGUGAAACUAUCAGUCUUGAGGUAAUAUACUCACCUCAAGUAGAUCAAGUAGUAAAAGAGAAGAGGAAGAGAGACAAAAGGUGAAUUUAUGGUCGAAUUUGGAGAAAAUGAGAAAAAGAAAGAGGCUUGGUGGGAAGUGAUGAGUCAUUGUGAUGUUUUUGAUGGAAUGUGGGUGAAAGAUGAUGCUAACCCUAUGUAUGAACCUGAAAUUGUUAUCAAAAUGGAAGGCCUGAUAAUGGUUAACAGAACUUUAGAUGGCAGCCUAAGCACUGUAAUAUUCCUGGACCCUACAUAUAUCAUGAGUUGUGUACAAGUCUGUCCUCUUUUAUUUUUAUGCAUUGCUAGGCUUAAUUUUGGUAAUGUUCUUUUUGUAAAACAGUAUUACUUCACUUUUCAGGUUGAAUGCCAAAGAAAUGUUGGAGCUUUUGAGUGGAAAGCGAUUAGUCUAUAUCGGUGACUCUCUGAAAAGGAUAUGUGGGAAUCAAUGCAUGGUUUGUCUGCUCAGAAAUUCUGUUGAAGACAAGAAUAGAGUUUUUGAGGUAUCUGGAAGAGAGACUUUCUAGAAAGAGGGUGCUUAUUCUUUUAUAUUCGCAGUAAGUUUCAUAAUUUCACUUGUCUUCCGUUCCCAAUAAUGUCACUGUACAUGAUGCAUCUAAAUUGCUCGAUAAAAGAAGUCAAUUAGGCAAAGUGACCAAGCUAACUUAACAAAUAAGAUGUCUUCCAUUAUAUGUCGGAAUUAACUUGGUUCUUGUUGUUUCAAUAUAUAAACGACAAAGCUUUUAAAAACUUAAAUGAAACAAAUAAUGUCAUACCAUAACUAGGUAUCAUUUUUCCUAAGUUUGUUGGGAGUACAAUACUUACCUGCAAUUAUAGGUUUGUUGUUCAUACAAUAAAUUGUUCAUAUGACUGGCAAACUCAAAAAAGAAGAAUAACAAAAACAAUACAAACAAUGAGGAGAGACCUAAGACACCUCAAGAACAAAUGGAUCAGGCAGAUUCCCAGAAAAGUCAGAGUCAUACAGGUAAAAUUAUUAUUACUCACAACUCUUGUAUUGAUCUUGUUAAACCAAAUCAGUCCAAUAGUCCAGGUACAGUAAUAAUAAUCCUUUUUUGGGCUAUACCAUAGUCUCCCGAUCCUCUGACUGCCUAAAAAUCAUAAUCAUGUCGUGUAAGACCUAAUAAGGGUGAUCAACUAAGAACUGAACAACAGAAUAUGUAGUCGACUGAUAGCAAAAAUAAUUCAACAUAACAGAUAGAUUCAAGGCAGCAUCAUUACCAAGAAGAAGAGCCCAAUCAGCAGGAAGAACAGUGUCAAACUCAAAAAAAGAAUAAUAACAAAAACAAUACAAACAGGGGUCCUAAUGUAGUCGAUUCAAGUAAAGAAAUUGAUAUUCAUCAAUUAAAGUAACAUUAGCAAAUAGACUAAUCAAUUUAAUCAAUUCCCUAAAAUCAAUAGCAGGCAUAAACACACUUAGUAAAUACAGAAAAAAAUACUUUCAUAAAAUCACAAAUCGUCACAAUUGUUUGAAUACCUGGGAAUCAAAAUAUUUGUAGGAUGAGAUGAAUCCAGUAAAACCUACAAGAAAAUAUAAAUUAAGAACUAAAUUGUGAAACCUUGAAACUUCACAUGGUUCCGAAAAUCAAUAUUUUUUCAAUUAGUUAACAGAACUUAACCCCAAAAUCCUACCAGUGACUAUGUAAUCAAAGGUUUGUUUCAGUAAGAUCAUGAGUUAGUAUGAAAUAAAAACCUUAGGAUUACCUGUGGAUGGAGAUGGCUACCAUGAAUUUCUUUGAUUGAGCGAUGUGUUGAGGGCCUGAGGCGAUAUACAAAUAACUCUAGACUUAAGCAGGAGUAGGGUUUUUUUAUAGAGGGAAAAGUUAAUCGCAUGAAAAACUAGAGGGAAUAGUUAAUAAAUUUUCUUUUACUUUAAUAAACUUAAAAUGAAUGUUUUAUUUUUAAGCUAAAUAAGAUGAAAGUUUAAUUUUUAAAACAUACGACACAAUCAUGAAAAUGCACACACAAUAAUAUUUAAGCUAAAUAAGAUGGAAAUUUUAUUUUUAAGAAUGAAUAACUAAUGCUUGCAAAGAAACUGUAAAAAAAAAAAAAAAAAAUAGGGUGAGGGUAUUUUGUAAACAAACAACUUAUCCGCAAAAAUUAUACAAUGAAUAUUAGUUUGAAUAUGACAAACCAAACAAGCAAUAAAAACUAAUCUCAGCAUAACUUAUCCCAACAUAACUUAUCACAGUAUAACUUAUCCCAGCAUAACUAAUCCCAGCAUAACUAGUAUUCAAACCAAACGACUCCUAAAAGAUAUCUUUUAGCGGCUAUAGUAUAGAUGCCGCUAAUAUUCAUCCAAUAAAAUUAUUUUCAUGCAGAUGGAGAUAACGAAGUUUAGGAAGAAUAGCAAGCUCCUUAGAUAUUUCACCUUUCAAAUUAUUAAAACUUUACAGCUAAGGAGUGUUAAAUUCUACAUCCCCCAAUAAAUUGACGUAGCAGUAGAUACCAUUGCAGUUCAUAAGACAUCUGUAAAUCGCAAUAUAGGAUGAUGGAAAAAGAGGAAACUGAACUCCAACAACACAAAGACACCCUACUGCAAACACCAAGACACCAAGACAAAGGAAAACAAGUUGUUGUUAGUGACAAACCUCAGCAACAUCUCAGAUGACUUAGCUUUUAUUUUUUAAAAUGACAUCUUUGGAGCUAUUAACCAUGAUAAUAUUCAGUCAUUGUACAUCUUGUACUUCUGUUAAAAACAAAACUUCAACAGAGCAAAUAUUAAAGAAGUUGAAUCCCAAAAAGAGAACAAUGACAAGCAUAAAAUCGAAGAGACCACGCAAGAUUCAGGUAUGACUGUUGAAACUUUUUCUGAUAAUCAAAAUUUGCUUCAGCAAAAAGAGAUGUAUAUGGAUAUGAACUGCAAAAAAGAUCUAGAGGCCUUAACUAGUGAAAUAGAAGAGGGCUGGAAACAUGUGAAAAAGAAGAAAGGAAAAAGGAAAAACAAUGAGGAGACUAACCAGGUAAAACAAACAACAACUAAACAAGAUGAAGGAAAAAAAAACAUUUGGACGUUAACAGUAGCAAACAUGAGAACAACAACAUGUUCAAUCACCUUGUUGUACAGGAGAUGAUGGACUUAAACAUUGAGAAUAAUGAUGUGAACGAGGACAAGGAUCACGAGCAAUAAAACGAACAAAACACAUUGUUUCCUAACAGAAGUACAAGAUGGGACAGAGACCGGCAAAGCUAUGUUAUCAACUCUUUCAAGCAUUUACAUCACUAUAUUAUAGCAGAUUGCAGCAGCUAUAUAAACACAGGUCAUUAUUUGCAGAUUUUACAAGUUAGGCUCGUACAUUUGACAAGCACCAUGGAAUUAAUAAAUGGAUAGAAUAAUGUGGGAGAUCAUUAACACUGACUGGACCAAAACAAUUCAUUCUACUAUUAAAACCGAAAUACCAACAAGAAGGAUCUUCUGUGAAAAUUCAAACUAAUUAUCGUUCAGGAAAAUGGACAGGUACCAUACGAAAAGAAAAAACCAGAAACCAGUAACUGACAAACUUGAUUGAUAUUCCUCUAUUAUAGAUAACAAACACUAGGGAAAUUAUAAAUUGACUAAACAAAAAUUGAAAUCAAUAAGCUUAAGAUUCGUCCUACUCUUCAAAAUCUGUAUCAGCAUAGCAUAUAGGCGGAGGCAUGCACUAUAACAAUCAUUCAUCCCGUUUUACCAGCAAAACUAUACGAAUGUUUUAGAUAACCCCCCCCCCUAAACCUUGAGGUCUGGGAAUGUUGUCACUACCCGACUAUUUUCAGAAAAAUAUAGAUGACGUAUCAUUACAUGUUCUACUGACCAAAAGAACUUGUUUCUAAAUUGCACCUGUAAUGUCCUCCUUCAACUUGUUUCAGAUAACUAGUUAGGAUUAGGAGUUUCAAAAUUUCCUAUAUAGCUAAAUUACAAAAUAACUACAGCCCAUUCCUUGGUAAAUGUUCCUACUUUGAAACCAUCAGCAUGGGCAAGUCAACAUCAUAUAUCUACAACAAGCUCUGAAUCUAUUGUGUGCGUCUAACCCACACAUCACGAGUUGUGCUUUUUUCACAGUUUCCACUAGACUAAAUCCCUGGAGCUUCAGGAAGUUUGACUUGUUGAUCAGACCUUAGAUAAUAAUUCAUCUAAAAGCAGCUAUAGAAUUAAAAAAGAGGCAUCAACAUGCUUUCCCAAAGAAAAAAAAUGCCAACAAGACAAAGCAUGCUACAUCAAACUUCUCCAUUUAUGUUAUAUUAUUAACAUUAUGAAGGGCAAGGUAUAGUCACAUGCUUUCCUAGUUGAGUUAGGAUUCAUGGCACACAACUAUGAUUCUCAAUCCGUUGAUGAUUCAAGUGAUAUAGUUUCUAUUGAAGCCACUAAUUUGAAGAAAGUUAAAUCACAACUGUCUAAUCUCCAAUUGAAUUCUCUGGAAUCUGGAUGUUAAACUAUAGUACAAUUUAUUUUACUCCAUCAAAAAAUGUUGCAGAUUUCAGACCAUACUCCAGGCUUUUGACAGAAAUACUCGGAGUAAGCUAAUUUAAUUCAUUUUUUGGCAAAUACCAGCAUAGACAACUAAUCCAUGAAAAGUACAAUAAAGUUCGCCUAAUUCUACCACAAAAUACACGAAAAGGGUAGACUAAUGUAGUUGAAUAUUUAGCAAAUUUGAUAAUUUCGAAAUUUUCAUCCACAAAAAGAAGAAUCAAAUUAACCUAAUUCUACCUCCAUUUAUCUAUACAAAUAGCAAACAAAUAAACUUACCUAGUGAACACAAUCAGAAAUUUGUACAAAACUUUUCGAUCUAUGAAGAUUGAGAUUAGGAAAUCCAAAAAAGUGAGAGAAGUGAAUUUUUUUUACCUUAAAAUGGAUAUUCUGAUUCCAAAUCUAGUGAGCUAGCUAAUGCAUGCAAAGUUGUAGAAAUGGCUAAGAAAUGGCGGAGGAAUGACAGAGUGACCGUCGCCGCCACCGGCAGUUUACCAGUGUUAUCGGCGCAGUUCACCAUCGCCGCCACCGGCAGACCAAGUGACAUUCUGAACUUGUUCCUGGUGGAACCUCCUCGUCCUCGUUUCGACAUCCCGACCCGUGUUGUUCUUCACGAUCGCAAAAAAUCUGAAAGCUAUAGAGAGAUGAUGGAAGUGAAAGAAGAAGAUAUGUGUGUUAAAUGAAUCGUCAUUUUGGGAAUUUUGCUCAAAAAUAGUUUUUUUUUUGUAGAUAAAGC
rnacentral:lncRNA from 1 species